CUGAACAGUAAAGCUGCCACAGCUGUGGACUGUAUUAGCAUAGCUGCUGAAGAGGAGGGGGGAUGCUAAAUAUAUCGCAGUCAUUACCUUUUGUUUGAGCGGUGACAGUUUUAAAACAUUUCAGCUUUUCACAGGGCCAAGGGAGCGAGCACAAAGGAGCACACCAUGAUUUUAUUGUAACUGCUUUUUAAAUAUGGGUCAAAAAGCUAGCGAAAGAGCAGGAGGGGGUUCAGAGUGUUAGAAGCUGUGUGAAUCCUGUUGGAGCCCAAAACAAGUGAGUAAGUCAUUUGUUAUAGACAAAUGGAUUUAAUGGAUUAAGAACAAAUUCACAUAAAAAACAAGUUACUGAACAACAAACAAGUCAGGUGGCCUUUACAUCCUGCAGAUGUUUCUACAACUUCCACCUGUGGUAAAUUAAAUUGAUUGGACAUGGUUUGGAAAGGCACACACCUGUCUAUAGUGCAUGUCAGAGCAAAAACCAAGCCAUGAGGUCGAAGGAAUUGCCGCAGCAUUGAAGGUCCCCAAGAACACAGUGGCCUCCAUCAUUCUUAAAUGGAAACAGUUUGGAACCAACAAGACUCUUCCUAGAGCUGGCCGCCCGGCCAAACUGAGCAAUCGGGGAAUAAGGACCUUGGUCAGGGAGGUGACCAAGAACCCGGUGCUCACUCUGACAGAGCUCUAGAGUUCCUCUGUGGAGAUGGGAGAACCUUCCAGAAGGACAACCAUCUCUGCAGCACUGCACCAAUCAGGCCUUUAUGGUAGUGGCCAGAUGGAAGCCACUCCUCAGUAAAAGGCAUAUGAAGGCCCGCUUGGAGUUUGCCAAAACGCACCUAAAGACUCUCAGACCCUGAGAAACAAGAUCUCUGGUCUGAUGAAACCAAGAUUGAACUCUUUGGCCUGCAUGCCAAGCAUCACAUCUGGAGGAAACUUGGCACCAUCCCUACGGUGAAGCAUGGUGGUGGCAGGAUCAUGCUGUGGGGAUGUUUUUCAGUGGUAGGGACUGGGAGACUAGUCAGGAUCGAGGGAAAGAUAAAUGGAGCAAAGUAUAGAGAGAUCCUUGAUGAAAACCUGCUCCAAACCUGCUCAGAGGACCUCAGACUGGGGUGAAGGUUCACCUUCCAACAGGACAACGACCCUAAGCACACAGAUUGAGCCCUUUGCCAUCCUGAUGAACACAGUGAGGUCCACGGUCCGGGACGGGUGGGUCAACAGUUUCAUCCAGCCCAAAACCUGAGCCCUAGGACCAUACGUCAGGACUACCGGGCAUGACGACUCCCUGCUGCCCCCAGUCCACCUGGCCUUGCUGCUAUUCCAGUUUCAACGGUUCUGCCUGCGGUUACGGAACCCCUACCUGUCCCAGACCUGCUGUUUUCAACUCUUAAUGAUCGGCUAUGAAAAGCCAACAGAUUUAUUCCUGAUUAUUAUUUGACCAUGCUUGUCAUUUAUGAACAUUUUGAAAAUCUUGGCUCUCUCUAAUUUUCUCCUUCUCUCUUUCUUUCUCUCGGAGGACCUGAGCCCUGGGACCAUACGUCGGGACUGCCGGGCGUGGUGGCUCCUUGCUGUCCCCAGUCCGCCUGGCCUUGCUGCUGUUCUGCCUGCGGUUAUGGAACCGCCACCUGUCCCAGACCUGUUGUUUUUCAACUCUUAAUGAUCGGCUAUGAAAAGCCAACUGAAUAUUAUUCAUGAUUAUUAUUUGACCAUGCUUGUCACUUAUGAACAUUUUUGAACAUCUUGGCAUAGUUCUGUUAUAAUCUCCACCCGGCACAGCCAGAAGAGGACUGGCCACCCCUCAUAGCCUGGUUCCUCUCUAGGUUUCUUCCUAGAUUUUGGCCUUUCUAGGGAGUUUUUCCUAGCCACCGUGCUUCUACACCUGCAUUCUAGCUGUUUGGGGUUUUAGGCUGGGUCUCUGUACAGCACUUCGAGACAUUAGCUGAUGUACGAAGGGCUAUAUAAAAUAAACUUGAUUGAACUUGAUUGAUUGUUUUUUGGGGGCGGUUAUUCAAUAUGUAUGUAUAGGCUAUAAUACCUCAAGGGGUCAAAAACCAAAAUUAUCCUUGGUAUGACCUUCUUAAAACAAUUCCAUAUUGCUUAGUAUUUUAAUGCAGAGAAACUGUGACGAAACCCUGAAGCUCAUUGUGCCAUUCAUCUGCCGCCAUCACCGGAUAUUUCAGCAUGAUAAUGCACUGCCCCAUGUUGCAAGGAUCUGUACACAAUUCCUCGACGCUGAAAAUGUCCCAGUUCUUCCAUGGCCUGCAUACUCACCAGACAAGUUAGCCAUUGAGCAUGUUUGGGAUGCUCUGGAUCGACGUGUACGACAGCAUGUUCAGCCAUUGAAAAGGAGUGGGGCAACAUUCCACAAUCAACAGCCUGAUUAACUCUAUGCAAAAGAGAUGUGCCGCACUGCAUGAGGAAAAUGGUGGUCACACCAGAUACUGACUGGUUUGCUGAUCCAUGCCGCUACUUUUGUUUUUAAGGUAUCUGUAUUCCCAGUCAUGUGAAAUCCAUAGAUUAGGGCCUAAUUAAUUAAUUUUCAUUUACUGAUUUCCUUGUAUGAACUGCAACUCAGUAAAAUCUUUGAAAUUGUUGGAA